UCAGCUCUCUUUGCCUUUUGGCUUAGAUCAAGUGAAGUGGCUGUUCUGUUUAGCUUAAUCUCUAAACCGCCCCUACGGGGGCUUUUUUGAUUAAUCUUAUUUUUCGAACCAGCUGGUGGGAGCUGAACUGAGCUUCGCUCAUCUCCCAUUGGCACAGUGUCGCUCUUAUUGCACUGUCUGGAGCUGAUGCGAACCUUC
rnacentral:snRNA from 1 species